GACGAACGCUGGCGGCGUGCUUAACACAUGCAAGUCGAACGGAAAGGCCUCUUUCGGGGGGUACUCGAGUGGCGAACGGGUGAGUAACACGUGAGUAACCUGCCCUUGACUUUGGGAUAACUUCAGGAAACUGGGGCUAAUACCGGAUAGGAGCUCCUGCUGCAUGGUGGGGGUUGGAAAGUUUCGGCGGUUGGGGUUGGACUCGCGGCUUAUCAGCUUGUUGGUGGGGUAGUGGCUUACCAAGGCUUUGACGGGUAGCCGGCCUGAGAGGGUGACCGGCCACAUUGGGACUGAGAUACGGCCCAGACUCCUACGGGAGGCAGCAGUGGGGAAUAUUGCACAGUGGGUGGAAGCCUGAUGCAGCAACGCCGUGUGCGGGAUGACGGCCUUCGGGUUGUAAACCGCUUUCGCUCAUGACGAAGCUUUGUGUGACGGUAGUGGGUAAAGAAGCACCGGCUAACUACGUG
rnacentral:rRNA from 1 species